GUACAUGUGCCAAAUUUGGUGCUUGCAUCACCAUUUGAAGCAUUUUUUUUUCAGUUAUCCGCUGCACUAUACUUGUUACAAUGACAAUGAAGAAUCUGUAUCUGUAGCUCCAUUUCAGAAGUUAUCAAUAAAAGCAUUGUUGAGUUGAAUGAGUUUAUAAUGAUCACUCUUCAUUUCUCUAGUUUUUCUCCACAAAUAGUAUAAGAUUAUGAUCCAUCACCUGUGAUUAUGAUGCACCACAUGGCAGUGACACUAGAUCUGCCAGUUCUGGAUUGGGUCUAGGUUACUGUAGCAAUAGAGUGAAUUUUUGAAGUAUGGGUGAAAUCAUUCAUUCCACGAGUCAUUAAUUAUUUGUGAAGAUGUGAUGCUUCAAAAAAAAAAAAUCACUUUGUAUAUGUUCCCAUUACAUUUAGUGUUAAACAAGGUACACUGCCCUGUCUACACGGUGCAUUAUGGUGUUACUAGACUUUAUUAAACAAACAAAUAGCAGGCAGGGGCAGUGACCAAGCAGCUAGUGUGCUUGUUUUCAGUGUCGAAAGGUUCCCAGUUAAACCCCACCCCUGCUCCUUCUCCACGUAAUGUGGAGUUGCGUCAGGAAGGGCAUCCGGUGUAAAACAUGUGCCCAGUCAACAUGUAGAUCCACCUUGGACUUGCUGUGGCAACCCAAAGAGAAAACAAGGGAGCAGCCAAAUGGACUUACACUUACUUACUAUUAAAGUUAUCUGUGGUUAAUACAAAAGUUAGCUUUAACCACAGUUACCAUGACUGAAUACUGCCAGAUUAUUGCAUUAAAGAUCACGUUAAUGAUGGUUAAUACUAAUAGUUGGUUAAUACCAAUAGUUGGCAUCUGUUACACAACUACACUUUGCCAGAAGUAAAAGAUAACCACUUAGUAUAUGCUGUUAGCAUAUGCAGUCAUGCUAGCUGUGGUUAAAGCUAACGGUAUGAUUCAACUGCAGUUAGGAUGACUGCAUACUGAGAAAUUGUACUAAAGAUCAUACUUAUCAUGGUUAGCUUAAACCGUGAUUAGCAACACUGCGUGCUGCUG